rnacentral:rRNA from 1 species
UACGAGUGCCCCAAGCGUUAUCCGGAAUCAUUGGGCGUAAAGGGUGUGUAGGUGGCGAUGUUAGUCUUCUGUUAAAACCCCGGGCUUAACCCGGGAUCUGCAGGCGAAACGGCAUUGCUCGAGGAUGCGAGGGGUGAAUGGAACUCAUGGAGUAGGGGUGAAAUCCGUUGAUAUCAUGGGGAACACCAAAAGCGAAGGCAAUUCACUGGCGCAUUCCUGACACUGAAACACGAAAGCGUGGGUAGCGAACGGG